GGGGAGUUCAGGGAGGUUCGGGAGCUCAGCAACAACUUACCAAGGAAUUUUCAGAAUAAUCAACGCUCUAUGAUGUCGUAGUACAAGUAUCGUACUACUGGUCAGCAGAAGCGGAUGGCGCACAGAAGCGUUAGAAUCGUCAGCAGCGAUAAUUCCAGGAAAGACAUACUUUAUAUAUUCUAUUUUUUCUUAGAACUUAGAACGUUAACUUUAGAAACGAUAAACCUUUAAAUAAAAUUAAGAAGUUAGUUGAACUAUGAUGGCACUUCGACGUGAAAAUAUAAGGUAGGGAUCAGACGGACAUCAGUAUAAUGCUUAAAUCUUUCCAGGCGUCCAUUAGAUCGUGGAAAUCGUCGAUUGUGUCGAUAUUAUUUCCCCCGUGAACUUCAUCUGUGUUUCAAAAUGAAUCGCCCAUUUCACAUAGUUGUUUUUAGCUACUAUUUUCAAUAGAUGGCAUGACUAGAAGAAAGGUUGCAAAGUAAUACCUUGAACGGCAGUCUCGGCGAAAUCAUCAGCUAGAGUGAGCACCGCGCCCCAGAGUUUCUUGACGACGACGUAACGUUCGGGCGUCAAUCGUGGAGCGUUGAUGAUGUUGGAGAUAAGCUGGUGGACGCAGGACCGAUCAACGACGAUCUCGUUCUGCAGAAUCAUGUGAUAUUGUGCAUACCCUAAAGUUGUGGCCAAUGAACUGGGGAGAUAUCAUGAGAGCCAAUGCCAUCAGAAGUGACGCUGUUGAGGCCCGACCACUUUUGUAAAGAAUGUCAAAAUAUUUGACGACCAAAUUCAUGUCGAUGGAACUAAGAGGUAGCAGCACGGAUGAGAAAGACCGCAGUAACCAACAGUUGGGCACAUCUAAGAAGAAAGAAGCACAAAACAAAGGACAGUGAUGAUGGAACCUCCGGAGAAGAAAGCUGACACGUUUUGCACUGAGCGCCAAGACCUUGGAGAAUUGCACAUCAUUUCCCUUCCCUUCACCCUCGCGCCAGAACUCUGCACGUGACUAAGCCCCUGUUGCCGAAUGUUUUUACUUAGGUAAUCGUGAUUCUCCUCUUGAUGAGAUGGGAUCAUCCAUCAACGUCCGCCGGUCUACCAUCAUGUUACGAAAAGUUUUUUUUUUAAUUUUAAUUAAUAUUCGAAAUAUCAUUUGUUUUGGGAAAAAAAGUCAGCUGAUAUUUUCUACGAAACAGAGAUGGCGUUGAAUAAAGCAUGGGUUUUUCCCAACCUCUAGAAACGAAAAAGUGUUUUCCAUUUUACCCUGUCAUUUAGCCAAAGUAUUUUUCCUAUUUGUGUCUCCCGUAAUCAACCGUUAAAUUAUUUUUCUAAUCCAGUUGAAAGCUUCCCUGUUAUUGUAGAACAGAUUCAUGGGAUACCAGUUACCAAGCCAAUAUAAGCAAAUCCGUAAUCUUCUGUCAUAUCAGCACGAACUUUGUUCACCAUACACCGAGCACGAUUAGGUCUUGACUAACCUAGUUCGUGUGCGAAACAGCUAUAAACCUGAUGCUCUACUGAUUAACUAUUUC